rnacentral:rRNA from 1 species
GACGAACGCUGGCGGCGUGCUUAACACAUGCAAGUCGAACGGAAAGGCUCCAGCUUGCUGGAGUACUCGAGUGGCGAACGGGUGAGUAACACGUGGGUAAUCUGCCCUGCACUCUGGGAUAAGCCUGGGAAACUGGGUCUAAUACUGGAUAUGACCUUUCUCCUUAUGGGGUUUGGUGGAAAAUUUUUCGGUGUAGGAUGAGCCCGCGGCCUAUCAGCUUGUUGGUGGGGUGAUGGCCUACCAAGGCGACGACGGGUAGCCGGCCUGAGAGGGUGAUCGGCCACAUUGGGACUGAGAUACGGCCCAGACUCCUACGGGAGGCAGCAGUGGGGAAUAUUGCACAAUGGGCGGAAGCCUGAUGCAGCGACGCCGCGUGAGGGAUGACGGCCUUCGGGUUGUAAACCUCUUUCAGCAGGGACGAAGCGUAAGUGACGGUACCUGCAGAAGAAGCACCGGCUAACUAUGUG